rnacentral:rRNA from 1 species
UACGGGGGGAGCAAGCGUUGUUCGGAUUUACUGGGCGUAAAGGGCGCGUAGGCGGCCAGCACAAGUCAGUUGUGAAAUCUCCGAGCUUAACUCGGAAAGGUCAACUGAUACUGUGCGGCUAGAGUGCAGAAGGGGCAACUGGAAUUCUUGGUGUAGCGGUGAAAUGCGUAGAUAUCUGGAGGAAUACCGGUGGCGAAGGCGGCAUCCUGGACCGACAUUGACGCUGAUGAGCGAAAGCUAGGGGAGCAAACGGG